GGCAGUAAAGGAGAGAAAAAGACAUUAGGAAAUUUGGUUUUAAGUGUUUAUGCUAAUUUAUUCAGCUCAGUCGAGUGUAGUCAACCCUGAACCCCAGGGACUGUCAGUGUGGGUGACAAUCGCGGGCAGAGACAGGCUGGGGAAAAGUUGUCACGUUGCUGUUCGCUGAGGCCAGAAGACAGCCACGCCAGCCUCGCAGAAGCAUCAUCUUGAGGACAGGGAGGAAGCUGGCAAAAUGUGUGUUCAAAUCCUCCCAGGGGACAAACCCACUCACCUUGACUGCAACUCAACCGUUCGACCUGAAUCCCGGGGUAACACGCCCUUGGAUCAAAUUGGCAAGAGAGAGACCAUCAGCCAGCUGCCCAGGGGGGACACGGGAGCCAUCACUGUACAGCAAAGUAAAAGAGGUGUCGUGGGGCCCCCGAGUUCAAGUCCCAGCUCCCUGCUUAGUGCUCGUGAGACCCUAUCCAAGUCAUUUAUCUCCUCAAAUCUUCCUCUCCAUCACCCGGGAAAACGAUGGAAAGAAUGGCACCGGCACCAUCAGACUGUCGUGAGGAUUAAGUGACAGUAAGUGUUGAUGUGUAAGCCUGCGUGAGAGCUUAAUAAGUGGAGUUGCUUCCAUGGGACUAUUUCCGACAGGCCCGGGGGGCCCUCCUCAACCAAUAGGGACCAUACUGUCUACACAGUCUAUGGGGUGACAUGGGGCUGACACUCUUGGAGCGGGAUUUCUGCAGCAUCCCCCGUGGAAUUGGGAGUGGCUUCCCGUGGAGGAGGAGAGCUGUGAGCCAAGCCUGGAAGGACGAGAGGAUUCUGACUGGUCAGAAUUCAGGAGAAGGUGUGGGCAGAAGGAAUGGGUGAGUAGAAGCCACAGAGGUGGGACUUGGCAAACGGCUGCUUUGGCAGGAGCAGGGGCCGUUCGUGGAGGAAGAAGGAAAUUAGGGUGCAGACAAAUUUGAGGCAGGGUCUCCCAAGAGGCAGAAACUCAGCAUUUUCUGGGCAAGACUGUGGGUGUGGAUGGGCAAGAGGACGUGCUCUGCCUUCAUCCUUUGCUGAAAGGGAGCACAGUGGUCCAGGUGGGAGAAAGAGAGAGGGUCUGGGCCAGGCAGUGACAUCAGGAAAGGAAGCACACCAGUGCAGGGCCCAGAAGGCUGGGUCCGGCCAGCCAUUGUCACCCAGCCAUGUCAGGACAGAUGGCUGCUUGGCAACAGAUGUGGGUUUGAGCACGGGCCAGGGCCCUGUCUGCUUCGGGGAGGUGUUUCCUUGUCCCUCGCAGCACCUAGCCUCCCACCUAGUCUCCCUGGGCCACAUCCCAC
rnacentral:lncRNA from 1 species